rnacentral:rRNA from 1 species
UACGUAGGUGGCAAGCGUUGUUCGGAAUUAUUGGGCGUAAAGAGCUCGUAGGCGGUCUGUCGCGUCGGUCGUGAAAACCUGCAGCUUAACUGUGGGCGUGCGGUCGAUACGGGCAUGACUGGAGUUCGGCAGGGGAGACUGGAAUUCCUGGUGUAGCGGUGAAAUGCGCAGAUAUCAGGAGGAACACCGGUGGCGAAGGCGGGUCUCUGGGCCGAUACUGACGCUGAGGAGCGAAAGCGUGGGGAGCGAACAGG